AAUAGAUUUUCGAAAAUCAGCAGAUUUUGGCAGUGCAAAUCGAAAGUUGGGUCGACCCCUGAUUCCACUGCGUUGCGUCCAGCCAAAUCCUCAAAUAUUACUCACCAUGCCACCGACGAGUGGAAACUGACCAGUUCAUUUCUUUCUAUUCUGGUCGAACCCUCCUCCAUCAUCUCGUCCCUGUUCUUUUUCCCCAUGAUACGGACAAGGAAGAAGAGACGACAUGCUGGGGUUCCUAUCUCCGGCCUACUCCGGCGGCCUCCGGCAGCGCGCCGCCCGGAAUUGAUUCCUCCCAGCCCUCCGCUCUUGUUCCCCUUCUAGAAACACCCGAGCGUCGACCCCCUGCGUCGACCCAACGCCAAGCUCCAACCCCCGGCCUGCCGCCGCCUCCAUAGAUCGGUCCGCCGCGCCGGUGCCUCCAUGUACAACGAACGGCACCAUCCUGCCAGAGAUAGACUGCGCCGCCUAGAGAUGGAAGCACACUAGAAAGAAGUGGCUAAAAGGGACUAUUACUCUAGCGUGCCUUCAGAGUCUUGAAGGAAAAAAUGGCCCGUAUUAGAGGCUAUGCUAAUUUAUCAUUUCGUACAAAGAAGUACAUCACUAUUCCUUGUAGAGCACCACAAAUUUUAUCCGUUGAGGGAUGAAAAGUUUCAGAAAUGUGAUGCAGAUUUUCGAAUGUCUUUGGUAGUAUUUACGACAUCACUUUCUAAGAUAUACAUAUAGAAUAUUUAAAAAAUCAAAAGAUGGUCUAAAAAUUGAUAUUUGUAUGUCUACCGGUGUACAAA